AAUGAUUAUGGAGAUUAUGUGGAUUUCUGCUUCAAGACAUUUGGUGAUCGAGUGAAGCACUGGGUCACAAUGAAUGAACCUAAUGGAUUUGCUAUUAGUGGCUACGGCGGCGGAACCUUUGCACCGGGGCGGUGUUCUAACUACGAGGGAAAUUGCACUUCCGGUAACUCAGCGACUGAAUCCUACACUGUGGCACACCAUUUGCUUCUCGCUCAUUCAGCUGCUGUCAAAAUAUACAAGGACAAAUAUCAAGUACAGUAACCCUGCAUUCGUUACGAUGAAAUGAUCGAUGAAUACGUAAAUGUAGAUAUAUACUUGAAUUAAUGAACUCAUGAUGUGAAUGUAUGUGAGCUGCAGGCCUCCCAAAAGGGACAGAUCGGGAUCACAGUAGUGACUCACUGGUGGAAACCAAAGUACCCAGCACAACUGGCAAGCCGCACGGCCACCCUUAGAUCACUUGAUUUCAUGUUUGGAUGGUGAGCACGUAGUAUGUAUGAUUUUCUUUAACAAUAUAUGCCAAUUUCUACUAAUAAACUGGAUAACUAAAAUUGAUCGAUACAUAAAACUCCAGGUUCGCCAAUCCCAUAGUUCAUGGGGAUUAUCCGGAGGUCAUGCGAUCUAUGGUCGGGAAUCGAUUGCCGAAAUUUACAGAAGCCGAAUCGAAGCAGAUAAAAGGAUCCCUGGACUUUCUCGGGUUGAAUUACUACACAUCAUAUUACACAGAAGAUGGACCAGCUUCAUCCAACCAUAGCUGGACUUCAGACAGACAAGUCACUGCUUCCACUAGUAUGUAUCCAGCUCCUUCUUUUUAACUGGAUUCAUUAAUUCAACUGCGCAACUUCUUAUACUCUUAACACUAUUACUUACCAUGUUAUUUUGUUGUUGUCACAGCUGAUAAAGCUGGGGUUCUUAUUGGUGCAGCGGUAUGUUAUAGCUAAUUCCCUCUAUAUAGUAUUGCUAAAGUUAAUUUGAUUAUUCAUGCUAAUACUAACAUUUACAAUUAUGCUUCUGUAAACUGUUUACGUACAGACUGAUUUGGAUUGGCUAUACGUUUAUCCAAAGGGGAUUCGAGAUGUUCUUUUGUAUAUAAAGGAAAAGUACAACAAUCCCAACAUUUUCAUAACUGAGAAUGGUAAAUUAUCGACUCUAGCUCUUGCAUAUUUAUUUUCCGUGACUAAUUAUCCGGCUAAUAUAUUAGUUUCAUGUAUGUGUCGUAUAUAUAUGUUUAAUUUUGUAGGAUAUGCAUAUGGAUAUAAUGCCUCGACGCCUAUUGAAGAAGCUCGUAAAGACAACCUGAGGAUAAGAUACCAUCACGACCAUCUAUGGUAUCUCUUGAAAGCUAUUAAGUGAGUCGCGUACUCGUUCAUCGGUUCAUGUAAUACAUGAUUUAUAAUUAGAGAGAUCACACGUUAAUAAUUAUUCGAUUAAUUGUUAUUGAUUGAUUUCAGGGAUGGAGUUCAAGUGAAGGGAUACUACGCAUGGUCGUUUUUUGAUGACUUCGAAUGGGAUGCUGGUUACACAGUUGGGUUUGGCCUAACAUUGGUUGAUGUCAAGGAUAAUCUGAAAAGAUACCUCAAGUAUUCUGCCUAUUGGUACAAGAUGUUCCUCCUACACUGAUAUGCUGGUUUAUGGAUUGAUCCAUCACAAGCCUGCAUCUCGAUCUAUGUACUCCAAAUAAAUUAAGCUGUUUCUGUUUUAAUUAAUUUCAGUCUUACCAAUAAUCUAUGCAUGUAUUUCAUCUAUCUAUAUAUCUACAAAUUAGUCAACACGUAUUUCAAAUAGUUUCUAUAACUCUCGUUAAUAAGAAUAUAUAAAUCGGAGUAGAUUCUACGCACCAAAGUGUAUUUGUACUAUUAAUGUGCAAAUCUUUAAAUCGUCGUAUGCUAAGAUCCAAUGAAGACUAGAGACCCUAAAUUUCUUGAUUUCAUUUUCAUUUUUGAUCCGAUCAAAUUAAACGCCCAUCAUAAGAGUGUCUCGUAUUCGACCCCAGGUCCUCACCUUUUGUCUUCUGUGUUAGAAACACCUAGGACUAUUUUUUUGGGUUUCAGUUUUGUUAACGGUAUUAGAAUACAUGCAUGAUAAUGCGAUGUGAAUGACCGGAUAAAAAUAUUGCAUAUUAGUUGCUCGGUUCACUCGCAUCUUGGUGCGUAGAAGAAUUUUCGUGAAUAAACUAGGGUAAUGACUUGUUCUAGUCCUUUUGGUUUUGUUAGUUUGCAUUUUCUUUUUAUACAUCGUUUGAACUCUAUGCAUUUUUGUUGAAUGCCGUAAAUUGUGCAUCAUGAAUGUUCAGUUUUCCUGUAGUGAUGGUAGUUUCAUUUAGGUUGAUUUUGGGUCACCUGGCAUGACUUAUUUUAUUGAUUGCGCUUGCGGCAAGUCAUGUUUGUAAUUGCCAUUCUUGUUUGGUAUAAAAGACUUAACAUCCAUGAUUCAAGAAAAAUAAUAUAUCCGGCUAGUUUUCUGUUUAUAUACUAAGCAAGUUUAAUUAUUUCAUGGAAUAAAAACUUAGAAAGGGUGUGGCUAAAACACUGUUGACAAUAGAAAUGAUUUGUGACCAGCUGCUAACCAAGGUCAGUUGCAACUGUCACAGCCUAUUCUCUAUACUAAGAGCAUCUUUACCAAUACUAGCAGUUUUUGAGUUAAAUUUUAGUCAAAUUAACUAAAAUGUCAUUUUGGCUAGCGACAUUAGAAAUACGUCUGCAUCAAUGUUCUCUACUUUAGCUAGUAUUAAAUUAAUGUUUUUUUAUUUUUAUUUUAUUUUUUUAUUUUUAUUUUUUAACAAAGGACAUUAGCGCCUAUUUUUAUUGUUCACAACUUGAGAGUAGAUACAACAACAUGAACACGAUCCGCCCGCAAGGGCUAUGUAAGAAGUGAUCAAUCCUGCAAAACUACCUAGUAGACACUAAGCAAUCUUUAUGCCGAAAAAAACCAAGGGGUGAAGCACUAUGAUCAAUCAAUAUUGUCUUGGUAGCAACCAAAUCAAGUAACCAACCACCAAGACACAAGCUAAGAGAAAGGUACAAGUCCUCAACCUAUCAUUAUUAACUAUUUUUGAGACCACCCUAUGCAAAGGGGCAACCCCAGAGCAUCAAAAUAACCUAAUUAUAGACCGAAGCCAAUGCCUAAUUAAUAUUAUUAUUUAAAUAAAGAUUAAAUAGUUUAUAUGUAUUAUAUAUCACAAAAAAUAUCUGAAAAGGAAGGCAUUAUAGAGAGCUUCAUCUCGCUCUUUAUAUUUAGCUAGUGUGAUAGUUAAAAGUCAUAAUAUCUAAACUUUGACUAGUUUGCUAUAGCUUCUAAAAUACCAAAAAAACUAAAAUAGAGAGUUUGAUAAACAUGCUCUAAAGCCAUGAACAAUAUUUCCCAAAUUGAAGUAUGAUUUUGUAUCCCCAUUUCUGUUAGUUUCAGCCACUGCCCCCACUAUAUGUUCCUAACUGAGUCAUUGCCCCUAUAUAUGUCUAGGAUUAGGAUCCUCUCCUUGGCUGAUCCCGAUCCUUGGUUGUCCUUGACUUCCAAUCUCAACCGUCAAUUGGAAAUCCAAUGGUGAAGAACAUGUCCAACUUAGCAAAAUGACAAUAAAUGAUGCAAAAAAUAAAUGACAUCAACAAAACCAUGUUUUUUCUGGUUAUCUCCUCUUUAUCUUCUCCGUUCCACAAAUUUUUUGUUCUAAUGUUCCACCAUUAUCAAAGACUCAAGCAGACUUCCAGAUUUGUUUCACCUCAUGAUCUCAUUUAUCAAACAAAAAGUUGUUUAUAUCCAUCAAUACCCAGCAAAGGAGGAGCCUCUCAUCAGCUUCUUCAUUCCUAUUCUCAUUUAUCAAACAAUGAAUUGUUCAUAUCCAAUAAUACCCAGCAAAUCAUUUCUCUUUAUUUAUGCCCGGAAUUUCAAUUGCCUAGAAGGUUACCCCACUGAAAUAGAACAUUCAUUGAUUCCUCCAUUGUGUUUCUCAGAUUAUCAAAUGAAAGUAAUCCCUUCUGUCCUUCAGCCUAUGUAAGCAUAAAAUAGAAAACAGAAAUGAUCCAUGUACCUCGAUUUUGACAUAUACAGUUUUUGACAUCUCCAGAAUGAAGUUUGUGUAGAGAUGAAAAUCAGAAAGAACAAAGAACAGAAGAUUGGAGAAUACUAAUUGAUGAAGAUGAUGACGAGGUUAUCGAUAUAGCUGUUUCGAUUCAAAUGAAAUUGGACUCUCCUUGACACCAUAGCUGACAUGGUUAGUGGUGAUCCGAUUGAAAUCUCCAGAAAAAGAAUGAAAGAGAUAACGAAGCCAAGAAGAUGAGAUAGAAACGAGGCGUCAUGAAGUUUUUUUUUUGUUCAAUAUGUUAACGGAGGAGAUGAGAUAACAGAGCUGUUUGUAUUGGAAAUUGUCAUUUAGAUAUUUAAUGAAUAAAAGUUGAGGUGGCUAAAUUAUAACCUUUGGAUAUCUAGUUAACGGACAAGAUUGGAAGUCAAGGACAACCAAGGAUAGGGAUCAGCCAAGGAGAGGAUCCUGAUCCAUAUGUCUAUGGGGAAAUUAUAAACUGAUCCCGGAACACCAUGUGGCAUUUAGUCUCUUCUAAUGCUAUUGGUCCAAGUGUUCUUAUCUUAUUUCUGAUUGGUCUAUUUAUUUACUUUUACAUUUUUUUUCACCCCCUGCUGGUCCUCACACGAAUUUCAGUUAUAUAAUUGGCUAGGAACACCACAUGGCAAUGUGGUGUUUCGAGUACAGGAAAUAAUUACUCAUGUCUAUGUUCCACCACUUCAUCUUUUGAGUUUGGUUUAGUUUUUUUGGUAGAACUGGAAACAAAGAAAUGGUAAAUAGCCUUCUUAGUUCCAGGGUUUAUUAAAAAGAAAAUAAGAUUACAAGAGGAGGGGAGGGGAAAUAACACCAAACCUCUUGUAGUCGGUUGUGUAUAAAACAACCUCCCAAGCCCGUAAACCAGCGGGCAUUCCACCAAAACCGAGGCCGCCUCGAGGUACCCGCCAAUAAGUAGGGUGGGCCGGCCUUGACCUCGGAGACAGUAUUGGGCUGGGAGUGGUUUCAAAAGGCAUAAGGGAGCUGUGUGUGAAGUAGCAGCAAAGGCAGUUGUCCCACAUCGUUUCUCAAGUAAAGAGAACCCACUCUGAGCCAUAAAUAUGGGCCAGCCACUAGUUUGUCAGGUAUAAUAACUACCUUCAGUAAUUGCUCUCUACCACAAGAUACUAACUUAAGCUUUGGAGAAGGAAAGACCGGAAAUCCUUGUUAUUGCAGGUCAGCAAGAGGACAGCCAACCAUCUGCCAGACACGCCAUCAGUUUCUGCGAACCCAUCAGGGAUCGUACAGAAACAUUUGGCGCCAUCUGUGGGAAACUUUACAAAAAGCCAGUGUGACUCGAUGACUGACUUAACCGAGCAGCAAGAGCAAGAGGCGGGACUGCAAGAGCAGAGGGAGGCGAUAUACGGAAGGACCCCAGAAAGAGCAAGGGGAAAUUCAAGAAUGGCGGGGAGAACCUCACGGGAUGAAACACCAGAAUAUGUGCCGAGAGAUCUCAACCCCCAAGAGGUAGCCGAGAUGUUGGAGGAUAUGAGGACACAAAUCGCCCGGCUAGAGCGGCAAAGUGUCCAAGAUCGAAUAGAAGCUUCCGGGAGGGAGCGUAGGUUGGAAAAGGAAAACGCAACUCUCGUAAAUGCGCUAGCUCGAGGAGUUGAGCGCUAGGAGGCACUGGAUCAGGUGGGAGAAACAGACCGAGCGGCGACGUCUCGCCAGACAGGCGCCCCGGUGGGAACAGGCCGCAGGACAGUGCACAUAGGAACGAAUUUGUUCCCGGACGAAAUGAGGGAUGAGGGACCGCCGCCCCUGCCCGAACCGAUCCUAGAAAUCCAAGUUAGGAGGCCGGGAGAGAUGGAAGAAACCCUAAGAGCUAUCCGGGAUAGCGUGGCAAGUUUGGCAGACCGAAUCUUGGACGCUGAGAGAAGAGGGGCACGGAACCAGCCCUGCGCGAGUUUCAAAGAAAGAGGGGGACCAUUCACAAGAGUGAUCACCCAGUCUGUCCGAUCAAGCACAGCCAAGCCGUUGAAGCUUAGCUACAACGGGGUCCGAGAUCCCUACCUAUUCUUUGAUAGCUUCAAGUCUCACACGAACGCUAAAGGAUACUCGGACGCGAUAUGCUGCAAUAUGUUCCAGGAAACCUUAGCAGGGGAAGUGCUCAGUUGAUUUUAUGAGCUCUCGACGAACUCGAUCGAUUGCUUCCGGGAUCUGGUGGACAGGUUUGUCAAUAGGUUCAUUCUACGGAUGGACGAGCAGAAUACCGCCCAACUGUUCAAAGUACAACAAGAUAGAGGAGAGGGGUUGAAAGCUUUUGUGAACCGCUGGCAAGCGGCCACAGCUAGAGUCAGGACAUUCGACAUGAAGGUUGCCGAGGAGGCGUUCAUUCAAGGACUGCUUCCCGGGAAGUUCAUGUAUGCAAUAAAAAUCGAAAAUCCGCAAGGCUAUGACGAGCUUAUGGAAAUGGCGGUCCGGCAUGCCCAGGCAGACCAUGACACUUAUGGGGGGACCUCGGUCGGGAAAAGGAAGGUCGAAGGGAGAGGUUCCUCGGUGCAAGUGGUCUAGGAGGUCAGGGUUUGGAUGGGAGAGCAAGAGCUAAACUCGUACUCUUCUGGAAAGAGACAUAAAGAGAGGAACGGGAGGAAGGCAGGGAAGCAAUAUAGCGCUCACGGGAAGGCAAAGAGCCCCUACCAAGAUACCGGGUAUACAAGGAUGGCGCCGGCAGCAAAAGAGCAGUUCUCAACGCUCAACGCCACCUACGAGGCGAUAUGGAAUGAAAAUAAGUCUGCCAUUCCACCUCCCCCUGCUAGGAAGUUCCCCGAGUCCUCAAGCCUCACCAAAGAAGACACGGGAAAAUUUUGUGGGUACCACGGGGAGGCAAGUCACCAAAUAAAUAACUGCAUUGAGCUAAAGAGGGCGGUUGAGGGCCGAUUGAAAGAAGGAAAAUUGCAGCAGUAUGUGCCCGGUCAGAGGCAUGUCGGAGGAAUCGAAGUGUAUGGGACGAUUAACACGAUUCAUGGCGGGUCCCGUAUAGAUAAUAGGAGCAACAAGGCAAAAAGGCAGUGUACGGGAUCCAGGGAUGGCCGGGAGGUAUUUGCAUUUGGAAGUAGCAAUAAUCAGCAAGUGACCACCGGCUGGAAAUCCGUUACCUUCCUGGAAGAGGAAGAGGAAGGGAUAAGGCCGCAUGAGGACCCGUUUCUAGUAACAUUGCAACUCGAUCACUAUAUCACGAAGAAUAUCCUGAUUGAGACAGGAGCCUCAGUCAACGUGCUGUUCAGAAGUGCCUGGAAAGGACUGCAUCGAGGAAGUAACAAGUUGAUACAAGACCACGAGCCGUUAAUCAGUUUCUCGGGCGAUGUCGUUCAGCCCCUCGGAUCGGACAACUUUGGGGUAAGCAUGGAAGGCCGAGAAGGAGUCGCCCGGGCGAUAGUGGAAUUUAUUGUGGUGGACUGUGAGUCGUCUUACAACGGGAUAUUAGGAAGGCCCGCCUUGUUGAAGCUGAAGUCUUUUGUCGCUGGCCACAUGUUGAUGAUGAAGGUUCCAACCCCAACAGGAGUCAUUACGAUCCGGGGAGACCAGGGGGCGGCAAGGAGUUGUUAUGCGAUAGACAAUGGGAGGAAGAGAUCUGAGGUUCUAUUGGCGAGCCAGGCCAUGGCAUCCCCCUCGGACCCUUACAUGGAUCCCAGGGAUGAUACCGACUAGGAUGAAGAGCGCCCGGGGUCGGCUGAAGAGACAGAAAUGGUCUCAAUCUUAGAUGAGUUCCCCGGUCGGGAAGUAACCAUCGGGACGGGGCAGGCACCCGGAGUAAGAGCAGCCCUGGUAAAGUUCUUGAAAAGAAACAGUGGGGCAUUCUCUUGGACGUACAAAGACAUGCUCGGGAUAUCAAGCAGCAUUGUGACACACCGGCUUGGGAUCGAGAAGGGAUUCCCUCCCGUGAGGCAAAAGCGAAGGACGUUUAAGCUAGAAAAGUACGAAGCAAUGAGGGGGGAAGUACAAAAGUUAAUAGACAUCAAGUUUAUACGGGAGGUCAGAUACCCCUAGUGGUUGGCCAAUGUGGUCAUGGUUCUAAAGAAGUCAACAUGACAGUGGAGGAUGUGUGUAGAUUACUCAAAUCUCAACAGAGCAUGCCCAAAGGACAGCUUCCUGCUCCCAUGAAUAGAUCAACUGGUGGACCCCACGUCCGGAUUCGAAUUGUUGAGCUUUAUGGACGCCUAUGCGGGCUAUAACCAGAUCCAAAUGGAUCCAAGGGAUGAGGAGCGUACAGCUUUCACGACCGAUAGGGGCUUUUAUUGCUAUAAGGUAAUGCCUUUCGGACUGAAGAAUGCGGGAGCGACUUACCAGCGACUGAUGAAUGUCAUGUUAGCCGAGUACCUCGAGAAAAUAAUGGAGGUAUAUGUCGAUGACAUGCUGGUCAAAAGUCUAAAGGCCGAGGAGCAUGUAGGGCAUCUUGAGAAAGUCUUCGAAGUCAUAAAGAGGUUCGGGAUGAGGCUAAACCCUCAGAAAUGCAUCUUUGGGGUUGUUAAAGGGAAGUUCCUGGGGCAUAUAAUUAGCAGGAGGGGGAUUGAAGCCAACCCGGAAAAGAUCCAAGCCAUAUUGGACAUGAAAAGACCCAAGGAAAGGAAUGAAGUGAGUUCAUUAGCCGGGAAGAUUGUCGCCCUUGCUAGAUUCGUGUCACGACUCACGGAUAAGUGUGCCCCGUUCUUUCGGCUGAUGAAAGACCAGCGGUGUGGGGACCCGAGCAGGAGGCAUUCAAACAGAUAAAGGCAUACCUCACGUCCGCGCCGGUUUUGUCAAAACCAAUCUCGGGCAAGAUGUUUUACCUGUAUGUCGCAGCAUCACAGUCAGCAGUUAGCUCGGUCUUGAUAAGAAAAGAGUCUGAUAUCGAGCACGCUAUAUUUUACGCCAGGAAGGGAUUCCCACCAGCCGAGAGCAGGUACCCGGACGUGGAGAAAUUAGCCUUGGCACUUAUUGUAACCGCUAGAAGACUGAGGCACUAUUUACAGGCACACUCGAUAACCCUUUAUACCAACCACCCCCUGAGACAGAUCAUGCAAAAGCCAGAGAUCAGCAGAGACUAGUGAAAUGGGCGAUUGAAUUGGGGGAAUUUGAUAUCCAUUACCGGCCGAGAGUGGCAAUCAAGGGCCAAGCAGCGGCCGACUUCAUAUCUGAGCUCACGCCCAUGAAAGUUGUGGGAGAGUCUCCUGAGUUCACGCUCAUGAAAGUGGUGGAGGAGUCCCCUAAGCGCAUUCCCAAGAAAGUUGUGGGAGUAUCCUCCGAGACCGGCCGGGAGGAAAGUUGUCCCGGAGCAGAUAAUGGGAUACACAGUGAGGAACCGCCGACUCAACUCUGGAGGUUUUUUGUUGACGGCUCGGUGGCGAGAAAUAAAAGCGGGGCAGGAAUAAUAUUAGAGACUCCCGAUGGAUUCAAACAUGAGUACGCCCUGGAAUUCCAAUUCAAGUCAUCAAACAAUGCGGCUGAAUACGAAGCUUCGAUUGGCGGAUUGCAACUCGCCCGAGAUAUCGGUGUGGAGAGUGUAGAAGUGUUCAGUGAUUCGCAGCUUGUUGUAAAUCAAGUCAACGGGACCUUCAUAGCCAAGGAGCCUCAGUUGAACUCUUACAAAGCACUGUCGAAAGCCUUCAUGCAACGCUACAAGUCGGCCUCCCUCUCUCACAUCCCGCGAAAGGAAAACAGUAAUGCAGAUGCCCUCGCCCGGCUAGCCACCGGAGGGCCCGGGAAAGGCAGAAAGAAGGCAAGGAUUGAGGUGCUUGGAAAGCCAAGUAUUAGUAAGACAAUCUCGGAGAUAUUCAUGGUUGAGUCGGGUCCCGGAGAGCCUACAUGGAUGGACCCCAUACUCGAGUUCAUGAAGGAGGGGGUGCGCUCGGAGGACAAGCGUGAAGCAUGAAAACUCCAAUCGAGAUGUGCAAGGUACACACUCAUGAACGGAAAGCUAUACCGAAGAGGUUACAAUUUCCCAAACCUCAAGUGUGUAACAGAAGAGGAAGGAGAGAUGAUCAUGGGAGAAAUCCAUGAGGGCGUGUGCGGGAAUCAUUCUGGAUCCCUGUUGCUAGCUCACAAAGCACUCCGGAUGGGUUUCUUCUAGCCCAACAUGGACGCCAUGGCGGAUAGGAUGUCGGCGAGAUGCCGUAAAUGCCAUUUGCACGCUAACGAGAUACAUUCUCCGUCCAUUGCUCUAUCAAUAUUAUUGUCGCUCUGGCCUUUUGCACAAUGGGGCUUGGACCUCAUCGGGAUAUUACCAACGGCACCCGGGCAGUUCAAAUAUGUGAUAGUGGCUGUUGACUACUUCACGAAAUAGGUGGAGGCAGAGCCCCUAGGGAAUAUAACCACCGAGAGUAUGAAGAAUUUCCUAAUGAAGAACAUCUACUGCAGAUUCGGGGUCCCGGAGACAAUCAUCACAGACAAUAGCACACAAUUAAACAAUAACCAUUUGAUUGAAUUCACGAAGGACAUGAGUACCAAGAUGGUCUUCGCGUCGGUGGCACACCCGUAGACCAAUGGUCAGGUAGAGGCGGUUAACAAGAUCAUUAAAAUGCUUCUGAAGAAGAAGUUAGAUGACGCAAAGGGUCUGUUGGCACAAAAGCUGCCGGAGGUAUUAUGGGCAAUUAGAACCACAGCAAUAGAAGCAACGGGAGAAACGCCUUUCAGCAUGGCCUUUGGCAUGGAGGCUGUUUUGCCAAUCGAGACAUCAAUACCAUCAGGAAGGGUCAAAAAGUUCGACGCCACAACCAAUGAGGCAAUGAAGAGGGUCUCCGUUUGAACAUUGACCUCAUUGAGGAGAGGAGGGAGAGAUCAGACUUACACAACCAAGUCUAUAAGCAGCGAGUUGCACGCCACUAUAAUAAUAAAGUCAGGACUCGGAUGUUGGGACUAGGGGACUGGGUAAUGAAGCAAAUCAUGACCAAGACGGCAGCCCUGGAUUUGAACUAGGAAGGGCCGUACGAGAUAAUUGAAGAGGUCGGCCCAACAACUUUCUUUCUCUGGGAUCAGGAUGGUAUAGUCACCGGGCGACCUUUGAAUACGGAGCACCUGAGAUUCUACCCCGUGUAAAGUGGGAAUGAAACCCACCCUUAAAAUUUUUUACAUUUGCAAGUAUUGAGGCCCCCAGGAGGACAACAAGUCCCGGAGGAUGCCUUCAUUCGUUUUGAAAGACUUAAUACGAGAAUGGAGAAGUUAAAUUCAAAUUCUAACGAUGGUAAUCCACCGGGAGGCAAAAAUCAAUAUAAUCGCAAGUAAUAUCAAACGGGAUGGUAAUCCGCCGGGAGGCAAAAGUCAAUAUAAUCCCAAGUAAUAUGAAACAGGAUGGUAAUCCGCCGGGAGGCAUAAGUCAAUAUAAUCCCAAGUAAUAUCAAACGGGAUGGUAAUCCACCGGGAGGCAAAAGUCAAUAUAAUCCCAAGUAAUAUCAAGCGGGAUGGUAAUCCUCCGGGAGGCAUAAGUCAAUUAAAUCCCUAGUGUCGAACGGGUAAAACCGAGAGGAAAAGUUAUUGAAGUCCCUUGUAACACCGAGUGGGGUAGGCAUAAUACAAAUAUAUAACACAGGAGAAACAAGUAAUAAAAUUAGACAAGGCAUAAUAUAUUAAAACCCGGGAUCCGGGCGAAUACCACCAAUGGGUAUUUACAAAAUUCACCGGGAUGUAUUCUGGCACGAGGUCAUUGUCUUACAAGAAAAACCAAAAAGCAAAAGGGAAAUUACAACUUAUACCUCGCCGGGUUCCUCUUCCUCAUUCCCGUCCGAUUCGGCCAAGUUGUCAUUACCUUCAACGCCCUCCUCAACAACCUUCUCGGACGGCUCGCCUGUCUCAAGCUCUUUCUCGGCCGUUGCCUUAGAUUUAGCCUCUCUCUCCUUGGCCUCUCGAGCAGCGAGCAAGUCGGCUGUCAUCUUGGCCUUUUCCAGGUACCCAAGGCGGCUCUAGACGCCGAACUUCUCGGUGAUGCCACUCUCCCGGGCAGCCUUGAGCAUAGCCUUGAGCUUGUCCGACUCCUUGAAUUUGGCCACAACAAGCUCGCCCUUGGCGGGCAUCUGGCCUUGUAGAUCAGCAAUCUGUUCGUCCCUCUCCUUCAGCUUAGACCGCAGCUUCGCGUUCUACCGUUGAAGCGCGUCUACAUCCCACUCCAAGGCGAGAACUCUUUCAGCUUUUCCCUCCAGCUCUUUGGUAUGGAGGCUCAAUUUGGCGAACUUAUCGGCCAGCGAGAGUUUCUCCUUCCUCUCGGCCUCCAAAUCCUUCUCCAUCUUCUUCUUCUUCGCUCCGAGAUAGCUGAUCUGGUCGUUCAGGCUGGCCAAACGCUGCUUCAUCUCGUUGGUAUCCUUGCUGGCAUCAAUAGCGUAGAUAGCGAAGAGAGCCUGCAAGCAAAACAAAAUUAGUUCAGCAUCUCGGACAGUGAUAAUAAGUUGACAUUACCAAGAAGAAGCUUACCUUCAUCAUUGCCUCCCAGGCGUACUGCAGGUUCUUCCAAGGAGUGCUGGACCCGAUCUUAAUCCGAUCCAACUCGAUACCCUUCAAAUCGCCCACCAUGCUGUGCACGAACUUCUCAUCGGCGCACCCAUACUCAUCCAGUAUCUGCCGGAUGGGGGUCUUUCGGAUCUGGGGAAGAGCAGGAGCGAGAGCACCCAAAGUAACUGGGGGGCCGGCCGAGGAUCCUGCAGCCUUUUGCUUCUUCCGGGGUGGCGAGGCCCCGGACACGCUCAUCCCGCUAAGACUUCGAUUUCUUGGAUGACUGUUUCUUCUUCUAGCCCAAAUUGACGUUGACAACGUCACCGGUCUUCCCGGGCGCCUCCGCAUCAGCAGUUGGUUUCUCGUACCUUUCAUCGUUGACCUCCAGGAGUAUAGCGCCCUCCGAAACACGGGCGGUAGAGUCUGCAACAUUCACGUCGGUACGGGAGGCCACUUUCCCUACCUCCAGUAGGUCGCUCAGCAAGUCCAUGUUAGAGUCCAUGUCACGCGGGUGUGAGGGACGUUGUUUACACUUGGGCACUUUAGCUGAAAAUAAAGCCAACAGUCAAACUCUCGGGUACCAAGAGUAAAAAAGCCAUGGACAAGAGAAAACAGCAACAAGCGAAACUAAUUUGGAACCCCACUAGGCAUACGGCUGAGUUCAUAGUGAACCAAGACAGCCCACCGGGUCAGGUUGUACGAGCUUUGAUCCUCAUCCGAGGGCCAGGCUGCAAAUAAUCGCCCAAUGCGUCGCUUAUCGAUCUCUGACAGCGAGAAUGACUGAUCCCGGAUAUAUCUAAACCGGUUGGGCACAACGUAUGUCGGACAGUUUCUUUGCCAUCGGCCGCCGGCAAGCACGACCUUUGAACGCCAAUUAUUGUUCAUGGACGUUGGGAGGUCAGUGACUGGAGGCAAGUAUUCUCGAGCAACAAAUGAAACACACCCUCGGCAAUUCUGCUUCUUUGAGUACGAGAGGAGAUACAGGGCGCGAAACUCGUUGAUAGUUGGCCAACCCAUCUCGGACAAGUAGUACAGGCAGCAAAGAGACAGCAGCUGGUGCCAUUGGUUUUGGGGAAUUUGCCCGGGAACAAGCUGAAGCAUGCUCAGAUGAUACUGCACGCACUAAGGAAGCGGGAGAGGGAAGCCGUUCCUAAACAUAUGCUCGUGCACAACGACGAAGCCGUCUCUCGGGCAGCACGCCAAUUCGUCCUCGUAUAGCGCGCGGAGGGUAACAGAUGACGGGAUUCCCUAGGCUUCCCGAAAUUGUUCAAUCUCGGCUGAGGUCAUGCUACACUCGGGUUCGUUGUCACAUCCCGACCCUUAAAUUUUUACCUUCUUUACUAGCUUGAUAUUAAUAAGAAUUUUACCGUCUCCGUCAAUGAGUUAUGGUUUAAUUGGUCCCUAGAGGGGUAUUGAGGGACGAUUAUUUCGGAGGAAUUAUUCGUAGGACAAAAAAUGUGACAACGGUAAAAAUGGUAAAUUUUAGCUAGUAAAAGGUAAUUUUUAUUAGGGUGUUAAUUUUUUUGGAAUUGGGUUUUAUUUGGUGGUGUUUGAUACACCCCGAACCUAGUAAUUAAUUUUAUAUUGUGAUUUCCGGUUUAUUGGUAGCUAAUCAAUUCGGAAAUUUAUUCCGGUUAUUUUUGAUAGAGGUGGUUUAUUCGAGUUCAUGGGUUUUUUUAGUUACCCGAGUAGGAGUUCGUAAUUGGAGGAUAGUUAAAAUAAUAAUAGAGUCCAUUUUUGGGCUAGGUUUUUAAGUGGGACUUGUCUUAUUUGAUAGAGAAAGAAAAACAGAAAAGUCAGCCUCUCAUCUCUUUCUCCUCAACCUCUCGAGGCCGUCCGACUCUCCUCAACGGAAAGCCGCUGUCCGGCCACGCAUCGUCGCCGCGCCAGUCUCGUACGACAGCUGGGACACUGCUCGUCCUUCCUAGGGUGGUGGCCGUCCUCCUCUCUCCGGCAGCAGCUCACGGGAGCGCUCUCAAGCCGCCGGUUUUGUGGAGCCGGAACUGUUUUCUCCAGCCACCGAUUCCAACGAUCCUUGGGGGGUUUUGUAGCUCUUCUCUAGACUAUUCAACCAUUUCAAGGUGAUAGAACAAUUCAGGGUGUGUAGAGCAAAUCGGUUUUAGUGUGUCCUUGAGCUUUGGAGGUAUUUUCCGGCCAACUCUUUAGUUUCUGGGUUUAAUACUAGUUAUGUUUGUUGUUGUGCGUAUGGAGAGGAAGAGUUUGGCUUAUGCCUUGUUAAUUUUGGUUGAAGUUGAUUAAGGUGGUGGUGGUUGAUCCCCGCUGCCAGCGGUUGACCGCCGCUGCCAGCAGUUGACCGCCGCUGCCGGUGACUGCUGCCGGUUUUGGUGGUGGUUUUGAGUAAUUUUGGAUGAUUUCUAGAAGGGAUAAAUGUUGUUGUAUUGUAUGGUGAUUUUUGGUGAAGAGUGCUUGGAAAUUGGGAUAGUUUUGAUGGCUCCAUGAGUGAGAGAUGAGUGGUAUUGAAGUAUUGGAAAUUUUGGUGAGUGUUAGUAGGAAUUUAGGAAAGUUUAAGUUGAUUUUGGUGAAAGAGUAGAGGUGAGCCUCAUCCUUGGGAAUUUCCAUAUUUGUGCUUAAGUGUUAGAACGUUGAGGAAAAAUUGGAGAAGGUUAGUAAAAAUGGUUGGAGUUCUCCUUAGUUUUUGGAGAGUGUAGAGUGAGGGUAGAUGACAUUGCCCUAUCUUGUUACUUUGAUAUUCUUGUAUUAUUUUUGUCUCGGACCUUAAAUCUCGUUUUGUACAGGACGAGAGGAGACACCACGUGAGGAGGACUCUGACCGACGUCAGGCUUAGCUGUCUAUACUGUGAGUGGACAUUUUAUUUUUAAAGGAGUAUGCAUGCAUGAUUUGUUUAGAAAAUCAUCACUAAUUUUCUGAGUUGAUUUUAUUAUUUCUUCUAUGAAGGGAUCUUGAAAAUGAUUUGAGUUAUUCUAUUUUAAGCAUGUUAACGUGUGAGACACGUUGAAUUUAAUUAACUAUAUUGCUCUUAGAAUUUUUCCAAGUACGGUUGGGAAUCGUACUUAUAUUUUAUUUAUGAGUUUUGGGGAAACUCAUAUGAUUUAUAUUUUCCUUAUGCCAUAUUCUUGGAAUAUAUAUGAUGUCAAUGCUAGCAUGUCGUUCCACCUUUCGAGGUGAUGUGACACCCACGUUUCAAGUGGGGUCACGCAAGCCCUUUCCACCCUAGUGGUGAUGUGAUGUUGCCGGCGGCAUCACGCAAGCCCUGUGCCCUAUCCGUCAACUCGACGUGAAGGUACAGGGAGUAUGGGAGUACUAUGCCUGGGAGGCAACCGAGUCUGGGAGACUCACUUAUAUGGCCAUAUAGGAUAUUCUAUUUGAGUUGUUAAAUUGACUAGCAGGGCUAGUCCAUUAUUUUUGGAAGUUUUUUUUUAUACGAGAAAUCUAUUUAUUUUUCUUAUUGUUUUACGUACUAGCGGGGCUAGUGGGAAUUUGGUUGAGCUUAUAAUAUCUGCAUGCAAGAAAAUUNNNNNNNNNNNNNNNNNNNNUUUACGACUAGCGGGGCUAGUGGGAAUUUUGGUUGAGCUUAUAAUAUCUGCAUGCAAGAAAAUUCUUGGUUUCCGUAUAAAUGGAAAAGCAUAUAAAAGUUUGAUUUAGUAUCAUUAUGCUCUUGGAUAUUUAUUUAAUUAGUUUGUUUUUCGUCCACUCACGCUAACGUUUUUAAUGCUUUUCCCUGGGCCCUUUGUUUUCAAAUGCCCAGAUUACAGAGCUCCUGUUCGGUUUCACUAGGAGUUGAGGUAUAGUUUUCCCGCUGCACCUUGCUGACCGUAGGUUACCUGUUAACCUAUGUGUAGUGUUAUAUUUCCUUCUUGUAGAGCUCUGAUGACCAUGGGAUUAUGUGUAUUAGGUUAAAGUGUUUACUUUUCACUUAGGUCUAUGACCCACGUAGAGAGAGUUUAAUCUUGGUUGAUGUUCAUGUUUAAGUAAUGCCAUUGAAUACUUGGUUUGGGUUGUUUAAUUACUGCUAUGACUUGGUUUAUGUUGUGGGGAGUGAAGGACUCCAGGAGUGGUGGUUGGUUAUUAUAGUUGAAGUGUUUCAGUUUUUUUUCAGGAUGGGUUGUCCAUUUUUAGGGGAGGUUAUGCCGAAAUUUCGGUAUAAUCUCUUUUAAGAGUGGACCCCGCAAGACUUGCCUAUUUCACUAUGUGUUUUCGGGGCGGGUCUUGUCAGUGUUGGACCGGUUAGGAUUAGAAGCCCAAAACCAUUUCUCUCUCUCCCUUCACUGUUCUCUCCCGACGCUCUCUCUCUCUCUCCCUCACUCUGUCAGAUUUGCUCCGGCUCCAACCGACGCCGUCCGGCCAAGCCAGGCCGCCGCACCGGUCCCGUUUGGACCGCCGCUGCCUCCUCUCCUUGCCUGGGCUGGUGACCGGGCCGGUUACGCCACCGAACAGGGAGGAAACUCCCCUACCAGCCAGUUGCUCCAUUCGCCGGAACUCCCUCCUCCGGCCGCCAUAGCAGGCGAUUCUUGGCUCGUUUGGAAGCUCUGCUCUCGUGCAUCAAUCCCUCCAAAGGCUUCCCUCCCCCUUGGUCUAGGUAAGGAGAUUUUGGUGUUGGAUAUUCUAGGGCUCAUUUGAUGUUUUUGUUCGAUUACCCUAUCUAGGCUUGGAAUUUGUGUUUGUGCUAGUUAAGAAAGUUGUAGAGGGGGUUGAGAGGAAGAUGCUGUUAAAUUUUGGUAGGCAUUGGGGUCGCCGAAGUCAUCUGCCGGCAGAGCAAACGGCGGCGCCGCCAUUGUUAGAGGGAUUUUCAUGGUUUUAAUGUAUAAUAUUAAGAGGAGUUUAAUGAUGUGAAGUGUGGAAUUUUUGGAGGAGUUUUGGAUAGGUUUGGGAUUUUUGAUAGAUUGGUGAAUUUGGCAGUUAAUGAGGUAGAAUCCGACCGUUGGAUUUUCUUUAUUAUUGUUUUAGAAUGUUGAUAUAAAGAAAAUAAGGCUGUGGUUGGAUUUUGGCGUGAAUCCGAUAAGUUUAACCCUAGGAAAGGUAGUGGGUUAGGCGGAAGAGUUUUGGGUUAUAUAUUUAAGUAUUAUUUAUUCUGAAAUUGAAAUGUGGUCCUAAGAAUGGUUUUUGUGCCAGGAUUUGAGGAGACCUCACUUGAGUGGCGAAUUGGAUUUCGUCGGGCUUAUGCCUAAAGUUGUGAGUGGACUUGUUUUAAAUGAUGUGGAUGCAAAUGUUUUAUUGAUGAAUAUCAAUUUGUGGAAUUGUUUAUUUUCGCGAAGUUAUUUUUUGGAAGUAAAUGCUCUUAUUUUAUUUGUUAACUUCGCUAUUUGGAAAGUUACCGAAAAUGAGAUUUUCGGUGGAGUCAUAUAUUUAUUGCUUCUUUUAUAAUUGGCAAUUUUCAUUAUUUUGGAAGUUACCGAAAAUGAGAUUUUCGGUGGAUAUGUAUGUGGAUAUUAUGAGGAUAGUAUGUAUAUAAAAAAAUGCUAGCUAGCUAUACGUGCUUUUCCGUCAUAAUGAGAUAAAAUUCCAUUAUGGCGCGACGUGAGGGUUAGACGCAAUCGUCGUAGCCCUAUAUAAAUAUAAGAAUUUACAUAGGGGAUAUGCGCGUAUAUAAACACCGUCUUUUCCGCCAUAAUGAGGUAAAAUUCCAUUAUGGCGCGCCGUGAGCGUUAGACGCAAGCGUCGUAGUCUUGUGUGAAUUUCUAUCUCUAUUUGUUGUUUCAAGAAAAUUCAUACAAGGAAUAUGACGAGUGUAAAUACAUACAUAUUUAUACAUAUUACUUUAGCCUGAGAGGCUUCAUUUUAUUAAAUUUGGUGACUAGCCGGAGCUAGUCAUGAAAUUGCCAGUUUAUGAGUUGAGCUUUUGAGUUGUCGUAUGCAGCAUAAUUUCUAUGAAAAUUUAAAUUGGGAAAGCAUAAAUAUUUUCAUUAAAUUUAUUUUAUCCACUCACUCUAACGUUUGUAAAUGUUUUCCCCUGGGCCCUUCGUUUUAAAAAUGCCCAGUAUGCAGGUUAGCUUUGUUGAGAUCGGGCGUACAUGGAGAAGAGGCAUAAUCAUUAGUAUAGCUUCCGCUCAUUUUUAUAUUUCUAGUUCUUUUCCUCUCAAAUAUAAUUGCUCUGAACUUGUGAUUGUUGGUUGUGAGUGUUUCUUAUUAAAGUGAGUAAAUAUAUUGGGAGAUGUUGUGAUUUGGGGAGCACGAAGGCUCCAGGAGGAGAGGGUUAUAAAUGGAUUCUUUUGAAGUGUAUGCAGGUAUUUUUAUUAGGAAGAGUUGUCCAUUUUCAAGGGAGGUUAUGCCGAUUUUUCGGUAAACUCUCCUUGGAGGUGGUCCCCGCCGGAUUUACUUCGGGUUUCAGGAUGAAAUUCGGGGUGGGUCCUAACAUUCGUCGCACACGGUGCCGUCCUCCAGUAUGUACCUCCUGGACGAAGAGGAGCCGAUUACACUGGUCAUCGGGACGCCAUAAAAACCCCGGCAGACCAGUCAACUUCCCGGGAGGGUACGGCAUAAUUUGCGUCCUCAGGCCUCGACGUAGGAGGACAGCUCGGGCGGGAUGAUCGACUAAUGUACUCCUCCAUCCUCUCAUCAGCAUCCACUAUCGGCCUAGAGGAUGUGCUAACCCCGCUUAAAUCAGUUGUACUUCGGGAAUCCAUCUACCCUAGUAUGACAAACCCUAAGAUCUAUUAGUAUGCGCUGUCGGGAGCAAGUGCACCAAUUCAAAGUCUAACACAGCCUAAACCCAGAAAAUCCUUAGAACACCAAAAUCCCCAGUUUUACUCGAAACCAUGGAAAAGCAACGCAAACACAGAGAAUGCCAAAAGAGAAACAAAGCAUAAGUGUGACAGAACAAAAGCAACAGAAACUUACCAGAUUUUCGACGUAGUAGCAACGCCAGAAACGCAGACGUCGAAAAACACCUCGCAAUUGCAGGGUUGAGAGAGAGCAGAGAACAGAAAGAGAGAAGUCAGAGAGAAAGCAGAGAACAUAAAGAGAGAAGCAGAGAAAUCAGAGAAAGCAGAGAAACGUAGAGAAACACAGAGCAGAUAAUAGAAUGGAGUGAGAGUGAAGACGAAAAACAAAAGAGGGGAAGAGUUUAUACACGGCCAGCGAGCAGUCGCCUCGAUCCACGAACCGAUGCAUUUAAAAAACCAUUACCUGGCCAUCCGAUCAAACCGUAGGAUGGUGCCACGUAGCUUAACUGCCGUGGCUUCUUGAAGAAGGAAAGAACGAAGCGACGUGCAUUAAAAAUUGCUUGGCAGUUAUCCAGGAAUAUUGCGACAUCUGGCGAGCAUGCAUUUAAUGCCUCUGCCACAGCUAUGCGCAAACUCUCAAGUAUAAGACCAAUCCCGGAUGAACAUCACCGAGAUCGUAAGACCAAAUAUAAGACCAAUCCCGGGUGAACGUCACCGAGAUCGUAAGACCAAUCCCGAGUGAACGUCACCGAGAUCGUAAGACCAAGGAAAGACCCAUCUCGGAUAAGUGUCACCGGGAGGAAGCAUACAACAACUGCUUCUCGAAAUUGUAAGUCCCAGAUAAGUGUUCCCGGGAUGCCGAGGCUGGGCAAUUUAUAUCAUCCCUUUAAAAAAGGAAUAAGUGGCUUGAUAAACCACGGACGGCGUUAACACCCCGUCACUCGAGUAGUGACACCGGAUGAUGAAAGGGCUCGCUACCCUUUGCCUAUGAACAUGUAACACCCGUUCAACCCACGUUCUGAGUCCAGACUUAGGGGGACUAUGGGUGGGACCCGCUUGAAAUAUGCUGGUCUACAGACUUAUUGUAGCAAGUCCCCACUCAAGAUGUGUCUUGAACGAGAACUUGGGAGGACUUGUAGUCUGUUGAGUAUAAAACAACCUCCCAAGCCUGUAAACUAGCGGGAAUUCCACUAUAACCGAGGCCGCCCCGAGGUACCCGCCAAUAAGUAGGGUGGGCCGGGCCCGACCUCGGAGACAGUAUUGGGCUAGGAGUGGUUUCAGAACGCAUAAGGGAGCUGGGUGUGAAGUAGCAGCAAAUGUAGUUGUCCCACAUCAUUUCUCAAGUAAAGAGAACCCACUUUGGGCCAUAAAUAUGAGCUAGCUGAUAGGAGCACAAAGUGUGACGUUCUUAAUAUGUUUAUACCCUUUAUUUACCCUUUGUUAACUCCUAUUUAGUUGUUUUAGCUUUAUAUUUGUGUUUAGUGUAGAAUAAUUGCUUAAUGUAGAAAUAUGUAGGUUUUGGUGUUAGAAUUCAUAGUAAUUUCGGAAUUGAAGAAUUGAGUGUUGAAAUUGUGUUAAGUGUUGGAAAUCCUUGUUUACUCAGGAUUCCUUUCUUGAUCAGGAUUCCAUCUUUCCUCUUUCUGAGUUUCUAAUUUUCUUAUUUCUAUUUCAGGAAAGUCUAAAUCCGUGUUGACUAGGAAAAUGUUUUCCUGACUCAUGAGGGAAAGGUGGCCGGCAGCUAGGAAUUCCUGCUUGAGCUAGGAGAAGUACAAUCCGAGAUAUGUAUGGAGAUGCCGUGAAGAUUUCCCAAGUCACCAAGGAGAGAGAAACCGUGCGGCCCAAGAAAGAAGAUUUUUCCAAGUUCAAGAUGGUUUCGUCAUUCCUUAAUGCAUGAGGAUUACUUGAAGAACAAGAGAAGAAAUUAAAUCCAACUUGGACUUGGUUUUGCCGAUUCAAUAGGAUUCCUUGUGCUUGAGGAAUUCUUGGAGAUCAAGACUUGUUACUCUAUAAAUAGGGCACGGCAUGGCAGCAAUUAUCAUCAUCAACCCGUGCAAAAAACACCAAAGCCUUUGCCGAAACUCCAUCAACCUCCAAACACCAUAAUCUGAUUCCACCAUCAUCCUUGAUCCAAAGCACGUAGCCUAGGAUUCCGCUCACUCGAAGAAUAGAACAAGUAGGGAUAUCCUGAGAGUGUAUUUCAUCUUUUACUUUCGGAUUAGUAUGUGUUUGUUCUUCUUGAUGUUUGUUUUAGGUUUUUGCUUAAGUAUGUUUCGAUUCUUGUCUAUGAGAUAGAAACACUUUUGAACCAUGUUUUGAAUUAAAGUUUUCAAUUUUUAAUCAAUGAUUUUAGGUUUUAUGCCGUGAGUUUUAUGUCUAUAUACUUUAAGAUUUUCGGUGCAUUCUUCCAUUAUCAUGUGUAGUUGAUACAAGUAGUUGAUAAGUUGCAUUGUCUUUGUUAUUUCACCNNNNNNNNNNNNNNNNNNNNGUAAUUUAGGUAUUUAUUUUCAAUGUUUAUUCCAAAAUCAUCAAACUUUAAACCCUAUAUGCUUAUUUCGACAUUUUUAUUAGAUUAGAUGGAUCUACCCUGUAGUUGGAUCCCCGGUUGAGAACGAUCCCUGCUUGCUUUAAACUACGAUUGAUUUGUUGACAGGGUUAAUUGAUGCGUGUGCAAAUACGUCUUAUCACUAGCCACCAGUUUGUCAGGUAUAAUAACUGCCCUCAGUAAUUGCUCUCUACCACAAGAUAUUGACUUAAGCUUCGGAGAAAGAAAGACCGGAAACCCCCGGUCAUCCUUGUUAAUACAGGUCAACAGGAGGACAGCCAACCAUCUGCCAGACACGGCAUCAGCUUCUGCGAACCCAUCCGAGAUCGUACAGAAACACCUCCCAAGUAAAAGCAACUAUACAAACAGCUAACGAACACGAAACUUCAGUAGACUCUCAAGUGUUCAAGUUUUAUCUAGAUCGGAUCAACAAUUUUCUCUUCAGGUGAUGUUUGACUCAAUGAGUUGUGUUUUUACUGUUGUAUAUGCUCGCACUACUGUUGUCGAUUGUGGGUUGAUCUAGAAAAUGUUAAGGAGGGAAGCUUUGUCACAGGGCCUUGGUUAUUUUUGGAGAUUUGGUUAUGUGUUGUUGUUACAUUUUAAUAUUUUAAUUUAUUUUGGGUGUUACUUUCAGUUUUUAUUUUGAAAAAACCGUUUUGACAUUAAUUUGUGUAACUCAUGGUGGUUAUUUGGUUUUAUUUGCUUUUAUUUAUUGUAACCCAUACUAUUGCUACCCUAUUAAUCAUAGGGAGUGUCCUACAAGCCUAUAUAUACACCAUUUUUGCAUGAAGAGAAUUACCAUGUACUACACAACAACUUAUUCACCCAUCAAUUUUCCAUCAAAAAUUCCCCAAAAGAAGUCUUGUGUUUUUUCGGCCAAAGAAAGAUGUUCUUGUGGUGGAGCUUUGGGUUCCUCCGGUUUGUGCCGAUUGGAGUGAGUCAUACAACUUGUUGUUGGGCUGUUGUAUCAUGUAGGGGACAAGUCAAGAGUCUGGUGCACCAAUGUUAUUCCGUAGAGGGCUUGAAUCUCCUUAAAAAUAGCGAGAUACACGCGCCUUAGCCUAUUGUCAACGAGCUUGUGUAAUAUUAAAAUUAUAAUUUUUAUUGUAAUUUCUUGUAAUUUAACUAACAUGUGCUAGAUGAGGAAGACAUGCACAAUACUAUAGAUGUCUACAACUCACACAUAAUCUACUUAAAAUAAACAUUACGCAAGGCUAUUAAGAACAAAACUAAUCUCACGGUCGAGCAUAUUCCUUUAUUUGUGUGCUACAGUGUAUAUGACAAAGGAGAGUGCGUGGACUGGUUGCAGAUUUUCAUGCUACUAGUUGCAUUUUUUCGAUAGUUCAAAAGAAACAACAAAACGACAACAGAAAGCCUCGAGUUACUCCCUCUGCCAGUUGAUCCAAAUAGAACGUUAAAAACACAUAAAGGGGAAUGCAAUGAAACCAUACUAAAACUGUAGAUGAGGUAAAACCUAAAGAUGCUGCAACAAAAUUAGCUUCCAUGUGUACAUGAUGAAAGUAGCAACUUUGCAGCUCAGAAGCUAACCUACUAAGUAAUAUCUUGAACAAUAGGCAUAAUACACCAAAGUUGUCACACCCCGGUCCCAGCGUCGAUGGAUUUUAGGCACCGAACGCCGUUUCCGAGGCGUGAACGAGUGUUACAAAGCGGAAUGUCACUCUAGGCUCGUCGUCUACCAUUUUCCCGGCUCGGUACAACCUAAGUAUUUUUCAGGCAAAAAAAUGUCAGAGAUGGAUAGGUGAGCAUAACCACGCGCUUAGUGAGUAGACCAAUGUAAUAUGCCCACAAAGCCAUGUCAUUUUUACACACGCUACAAAAUACGUAUAUCAUAUACACAUUACUUCACGCAAUUCAUCACAUCGCACAAUCCCUUCUUAUUGGAUACCUUCAAUUUAGUGAUCCCCACGGGAACCUAAUAACAUUCAUGUCAUAUACCUCCGUGUGUCACAUCCUUAUUUCGGCAUAACUAAUCAAGAAGUUCACAUGUUCCAUGACUAGUUAAACAAUAUAUCCAACACAUAAAUAUAUAUAAACUCUGCAUAUUUCGCAAAUUGACAUGCUUCACUUAAAAACAGAGAGAUAUUUCGUAAAUAGAUUAAAAUCAUGUUUUUUGACUAUUUUAAUAAGAAAUAAGAAUAUUUGAAACAUAUUACACAAAUCAACUCACCUCGUCAAUACGAAUCCCCACUAAGAACAUCGAUAGUAAACCAAGCCUCCUAAAAUGAGCCAUCUAGAAUCACCAUUAGAUCUAGCUCAAACCUCUAGAAUAGGAAGAGGACAUCGAUACAAACCCGUAGCCCUUCACGGAUUCAAAAUCGAAGUUACGGAUCAAGAGUUAUGAUCCGCCAAAGUUUUACAACGAAAAUUUAGAGAGAGAAAAUUCUAAAGAAAGCAGGAGAAAAACGGAGGAGAGAAAGAUCUGCUGCAAAAUGAAAUGGAAAGCAGCUGAUUGACUGAUUCUUCUAUAUAGACAAAUAAUGACACGUGUCAACAAAUAAUUGGAUCAUUUGUUGUCACGUGUCAAACAACACACCCUCACUAAACAAUGGACAAGCGGCUGAUGACUCAGGGUUGAUGUUGACGUCAUCGUCAGCUGGUCUCUAUACCAAGUGACACGUGUCACGACGACAACCAAUCAGAAUUUACCAUGUCAAUAAUUCUGACGAACUUCGACGAAACUUUAAAAAAUCGUUAAAAAUAGCUUGGAAGUCUGAAAAAUUCAUCGAAAAAUACGGCGAAGUCGUGGCGACCUCUACUUUCUAUUUCUAUGAAGAAAAAUCAAUUUUGAGAAAUUUCAAAAUUCAAGAUGUUACAAAGGUAUUCGAGUUUUUCCAUUCAGACAUUCAAUCAAUACCUUGGAGUCCCAUUUAAUAAUAAUUCGUGUAAAUUGUUGAAUCCAAGCAAUGUGUAAUCCCUCUCGGAAAGAGCUUCGCGAAAAAAAAACAAAAAAACAAACUUUCUCUAAAAGUCAUAGCCUCCACUAUAAGAAUUGUUUUAUCACUUGUAUGUUUAGAUGCAACUAAUUGAUUACCAUGACUGUCUCUAAAAACAAAACCAACUACAACCCCCUAUUAUAUGAUAUAUAAAAGCAUCAAAAUUAACUUUCACAAAACAAGGAUUAGGAGGAUGUCAUUUGACUAUUAAUGCUACUAGUGGCAUGUCAACUUUUGACUGUGUUCUUUUUAUUUUAGUUUUGUUUUCCUAACUAAUUUUAGAUUUUAAUAAUUAUAUUAAUAAUUAUUGAACUUGUGUAUGUUCUAAGGUCUAGUGGGUGUCCAAAUUACUUUGGAUUUGGACUUUUCCAUGGACCAAGACCCCCUUUGUAGAACCAUGCAAACAAGCUACAACUUACUGGAGUUUUGAGUAUGAGACUCUGGAGAGUUCGAUAGUAUUAUUGAAUCAUCUGGAGUAGUACUAAAAGAUAAUUCAAAUUAUUUUGUGAAACAUGAAGUGGAAAAAAGGAGGGUACACGGGAUAUUACACCGUGUGUGUUACCAAAACGUCUUGUUAUGUCUAUAAAUGGCAGCAAACGGAGCCAUCGUAUAUACUAUGGCCUUAUGCUUAGCAGUUUUUUGGAUUUGUUUCAAAAUUUGUAACCAAACUUAAUUUUGUAGCUAUACUUUUUUUUAGGGGAAAAAUGAGUCAAACUCUGUUAGGUCAAGCUAGGAGAAAGUCCAAAGACCAAACUCCAUAUUACUAUGCGUUGCACAUAUUCAUGCUAGAAGCAUGUCUACAAAACAAAAGAAAAACUACAAACUCUACUAAAAAGCUUAUUGUCUAAAAUUGGACUUAUUUUAGCCUAGAAAGCAAUAACCUAUAUAACCAAACCAAAGUACCACAGCUCAAGGAAUCGAGGUCUAAAACCAUUUCGGUGUACCUUUCCAUCAAAAAUGGGGGUAGCCUCUUCAAUAGGGUUAUGUAGGGAUUUGUCGGCCCAUCUACUAAACUAGGCUCAAGCCCAAACCCAAAUGAAGAGAGAAGAGAAGAAGUGGAGGCCCAAAGGUUCAGCCCACCAGGCAGCGACAUGCAACCCAGCAGACUAAGACCCAGGCCCAAACUAGUUCUUCAUCUCUCCCAUCUAGAUUAGGCCUGAGAUUAGGUCGUCGGAGAAGCCUCCUGCCCUCGAUUCAGUCUAGUGGCUUGGCUGCCUUGAAAUCCAUGAUCCUCGUCGUCGGCCGCCGCUGCUCCAAGCGUUGUUAGAGAGCGCCACUGUUACCCAUGCUCCCAAUCAACCCCGAUCAGAAGAAUAGAUCGGAAAAGCUUCACCUAUGUCAGUCAGAUUCUCCAAGCCCCUGCUGCAUGUACACCACCUCCUCCAAGGACGGUGCUCCCAAAACCUGAAGUCUAAACCCAAUGUCUCAGACGCCGAUGUGAACCAAAAGUUGUCUGCCUCUAUUCGCUGGAACCAAGACUGCCUCACCCAGUCUACGUAUCAGUCUGAGCUCCUCGCCGAGUUGAGAUGCCGUCACAGAGCCCACAAUUAGAGUUCUCCGCCGCCUAACGCCAAAACCCUAGGUUUUGGUAUUCUCGCUCUGCUUUUUGUGGAACGUCUCUCAACAUUAUUUUGUAGAUAUACUUAUCUGCAAAGUUUAUUUAUUUUUUUUAUGAAAGCUUAAUUAGAUUUUUCUCUACUUUUCAAAUUUUUUUUAUCCAAUAAAGUUAAGACUCGAGGAUUUGGGAAUACAAACAGACACUAAAAAAAGGUAAAAUAUUGUAUAGUCCUUGUGGUUUAAAGUCGACAUCUGUUUAGUCCUUAUGGUUUUAUUGUAAUCUGAAUAUAUAGUUCUUAAAGUCACGAUUUUUCAUCCAAAUAGUCCUUAUGGUUUUAUUUUAAACUGAAUAGUCCUUAAAGUCAUGAUUUUUAUCCAAAUAGUCCUUAUGGCCUUUAACUGAGAAAAUNNNNNNNNNNNNNNNNNNNNAUGAAAAAUUGUGACUUUAAGGACUAUUCAGAUUAAAAUAAAACCACAAGGACUAAACAGAUGUCGACUUCAAACUACAAGGGCUAAACAAAUUUCAAUUCAAAAAAAAAAACAGAGACGGGAGAACCCUAGAGACAGCUCUUCCACGAGAGAACCACGCCUAGUCCGGCGGCACGCCCUUACGACGUCGUCGUCAGACGGGGCCGCAAAGGACCUCAUGUCCGGAGAGGAUGAUCCUACGGAGCAAGAGUGGUGGGGGCUAUGACUUUGUCUUGAUCGGUAGCAGGUUUCAAAGGAGAGAGAUGGUGGAUUCGAAUCAGGGUCGAUGUAUCUGAGAUUGGAGCGCAGACAUGCGGAGUCGGCGUUGUGUGGUCGGAGCCCACCUGGUGAUGAUGAGUUGAUGGCAGAAGCACCGAUAUCGGAUCUUAAUGGUCUGGUUUUGAAUUCGCGGAUGUGCAAUCAAUCUUGGAAACGAUGACUUCAGCAGGCUUGGAGGUCGGAGAUCGAAAGUGAUCUCUGGGCGACGGGUUGGCAGCGGUGGAUGGGGUGUGCGGAUCGAAGGGUUACAGUUUCGACGGGAUGGAGGCGACAUGCCUUGGCAUCUUUGGGCUCUGUUGUGGGUCUGGUGGAGUUUUGGGCUUUUUACUUGUCAUUGGGCCCUUUCUAUGUUACUUUCCUUAGUCUUUCUAGUCUUCUAAACCCAUCUUUUAGGACCACUAGGGUUUUAAAUUAGUUUUUACUAGUUAAUUUCCAACAAGUCUUUAUGUAGGUUUUUAGGAAUCUAGGUAGGUUUUGAUGCCUACAGAUUAUAAUAUUUCUUUUACAUCUAGAUAAUGACCACUUCCUAUCAUACCCAAUGGUCUAAAAGGCGCUAGGCGCUAGGGGGCGGCGACCCAUAGCCUAGUGCCUAGACAGCCUAGGCGGGGACUAGGCGAUUUCCUUUUUUUACAUUUAAUUAGUAUAUAUAUAUAUAUAUAUAUAUAUAUAUUAUUUGAAAUUAGUAAAAUAUGAAUAAAAAAAAUGGCAUGACCUUUCUCCAAAAGUGAGCAACCCAACCUGUAAAUUUACAAACAAAUAUGAUUUCUAAUUCAAAGCACCAUCAACUCUUGAAUUCACAUCAUAAUCACCACACAACAACUUCAAAAUAGCAUAUACUUUCCCACAUAACUUGCACUUCACUUUGUCUAAAUUUGAAGGGUUCACCAAUGCCCCAUAUUCCCAUCCAACAUCUUCGGAAUUACGCUUCAAAGACACAUCUAUCUCUGACAUUGCAUUUGACCCUCCGGAAGAUGUAGUACGACUACUACCAGCCAUUUUCUAGCAAAAAACAAGCCAUUAUAUAGUGAUACACUCAUACACAUACGCAUUGCUAUCCUUAAUUAGUUCCUUAAGGACCUUAACAGAUUAACAAUACCACUGCAAACUUCACAGAUUUAUACAUAUAAUAUAUUGAAUACUCAUGUAUUCCCUGCAAACUUCAUGGGAUCAGUCCAUCCCCUCAGUUAAUGCAUGAUCCUCAAAACUGCCAUUAGNNNNNNNNNNNNNNNNNNNNNNNNNNNNNNNNNNNNNNNNNNNNNNNNNNNNNNNNNNNNNNNNNNNNNNNNNNNNNNNNNNNNNNNNNNNNNNNNNNNNNNNNNNNNNNNNNNNNNNNNNNNNNNNNNNNNNNNNNNNNNNNNNNNNNNNNNNNNNNNNNNNNNNNNNNNNNNNNNNNNNNNNNNNNNNNNNNNNNNNNNNNNNNNNNNNNNNNNNNNNNNNNNNNNNNNNNNNNNNNNNNNNNNNNNNNNNNNNNNNNNNNNNNNNNNNNNNNNNNNNNNNNNNNNNNNNNNNNNNNNNNNNNNNNNNNNNNNNNCAAAGAACUAGGAAGUGGGAACUUGGGAAGUAUAUUCAUACCAGAAAUCCAGAAUAUAACUGGGAAGUGGGAACUGCGCACCGCCAAGUCGCCAACAGAUUGAGAAGUAUAUUCACUUCUCUGAGUUCUCUCCCAAUAAGUCCCAACUAAUUGCUGCCUUGUCUUCUUAGCUGUAUAACAGAUUAACAAUAUAAGGAGGAGAAUCAAAACCCAACAAGGCAACAAGCCAACAACACAAGCAGCCAGCCAAAAACAUAAGAAUAUUGUUUUCAUAGAAGCAGUAGAAGCAGAGAUUUAAAACAGAGAUUUGAAGAAAUACCUGUCAAGACGGAACAAGAAAGAGAGAGAGAGUCGACGACGAGCGGAGAAGGUCACUGACCGGUAGAGAACGACGAGGUCGCUCAAUUUGGGAGAGGCGAAUCGGCAAGGUUGAUCAGUUUGGGAGAGGGGAAACAACAAGGUCGGGUAGUUUAGGAGAAUGAGAAACCAAUUUGGGAAUUAGGUUAAGUAAGCCCGCUGUUUUUAUUGGGUUUUUUUUUUGGAAGCGCCUUCGACGUCUAGUCCCGCCUUGACCAAGACCGCCUUAGACUCGCCUGCAACGCCUCGACGGCGCCUUGACCGCCUAGGCGGUCCCUAGGCGGCUGGCCGCCUAACCUGAACGCCUAGGGGAUAAUCUGGGCGGUUGAGCUCCGCCUACAGCCUAGGCGGCUGGCCGCCUAACUUGAACGCCUAGGGGAAAAUCUGGGCGGUUGAGCUCCGCCUACAGCCUAGGCGGCGCCUUUUAGAACCCUAAUCGUACAGCAAUUGAACGUCUUGACGACGGAAGUUUUCAUGUAAAAUUAUAUCUAUGUAGGGCUAGAUUAUAGCUUGUUAGGCUCAUCAUUGAUGAGCGACAAUGUACAAUAUAAUGGUAUGUGAAUCACCUUAAUUCGUUGAGAUCUGUAACGGUGUCAUUUUUGCUGCGACUAUUAAUACAAUGGGUUAUAUGCCCGCUUUUACGUAAAAAAAGAGAGAAUACAAGUGAACAAUCCUGAAUCAUAAAAUCAUCACGAGUAUGGUAUCAAGUUCUGAAUGAUCAUAACAGUACAAACACGUGUAUCAUAUUUAUUUUGGUCUGUGUGACAUGAUUUAUUUUUCUUGUUUGGAUUGGAUCGGAGUGGUUGACAUAACUAAUCGAUUCACACACAAAAAAAAAAUUAAAAAAAUAGUACAUACGCGCCUAAACGGGGUGAUUACUCCCUUUUUAAAAUUUGUAGUUUGGACUUUGGACUUUGGACGAUUCUGUAACGUCAGGAAAUUAUUCAAAGGAUAAGAAGGAGGUGGCCAUACCCAAAUCUGUGGUGAUUCUCAUGUCGUCCCCACUUUGAUCAUACAGCAACCAAAAUGAAAUGAAAUAAUUUACUUAUUCACGCACACCCUACACGCACAAAUUUUUUUAUUCAAACUUCUCAUUUCUUUUAUUAAUAGAACUAAGAUAUUAAGCAAAUAUAUUAAUACUAAACAAAAUUACAUGCAUGCUAUUAAUAUACUAGUUAAACAGAAAAAUUAGAAAGAAUUGCCUCAUAGUUUUUUCUCGACGAGAGAGUCGUCAUAUAGUUCUCUCUCAAAACCUUAGAAAGAGCCAUUUGAUAAUUUUCUCUCGAAAUAUUCAACUAUAUUAAUACUAAGCAAAAUUACACGUAACAGCCUGCCAUAUAAGGUUGCCACAAAUUACGCACGCACAUUCAGUAACUUACCUACACUAAACCUGAGAGAUAAUAAAUAAAGAUGGGUUGUAGAUUAGUCUUGUCGUCGUUUCUUCAAGUCUGAUUGGGCAUUUCAAGUUUUCAACCCAUGUAGUGAAGAUUGCAGCACAAGCUUCCUCGACCUCCAUCAUAUAUAUAUAGGCAAGGAUAAUCUCCUCUUCACUUGCUUAACCUCCUCGACGAGGUGCAACAACAAUAACCUUCUCAACCUCCACCAUUGUCUCACCUUCAACAAUAACCUUCUCUGUCACCCGUCACCAUCAUGGUAGGCCAUUAUCCUACCAUCGAAAGUUGAAAGGGAAAAUAUUUGAAUGAUACUUCGCCAACACAAACAAAAUGAAUGAUCAUUUGGGUACCGAAUUAGAUUAAAUGAAUCAAAUGAACAAAAUCUGUCCAAACAGAACCGUUAGUGUAAAUCAUAAUUACUGAAGCUCAAAUGAUCUCCAAAUUAGAUGAAAUUUUGCAUGAAUGAUCUACACACUAUGUACUAGACACUUAACGGUAGAGAUGUGAAAAUGUAACCUAAAAGUGAGCGAAAUGAGGAGUACNNNNNNNNNNNNNNNNNNNNGAUCCUUUUUUUUGUUUUAUUUCUGGGGAUAGGGUAUUUGACAAACUUCCCGAUCACAAAAUCACAUCUCCAACGUUCAGUUUGUAGGUGUAUAUGAGUAGAUCACUUAUGCAAAUUUUUAGAAAAUUUGGUGAUCGUUAAGUCAUCCAAAUGUUUGAUUUAUUUUUAAUAAUCUUGAACGGUGUAGGUUUGACAUAAGUGUUAAGAUUUUUGUUUUAAUCCCAGCCAUCAAAGCCCAUUAAAAAACAGAUCUAAUGGUGUGGGCCUAUCCCUAAAAGUAACAAAAAAUAUCCCUCAUUGGAAUGGCCCUGUAUAUAUAUACGGGGAUUAUUAGGUGCGGACGUCCGGACGGGUUUUCCGUCCGGAUUUCAGCCGUUUCUCCACCAUUCCAGUGCCGGCGACGCCGUUUCUUCUCCCCAGCGUGAUCUCAGACCUCCCCCAACAGUGUUAGAAUGAAGAAGAAGGCCAGAGAGAUCGGGAUCGGAGGUCCACCAUGAUCGGUUGUGAAGUUCUGAGUGAGAUUGCUGCACAGACCUCCGAUCACGAUCUCUCUGGCCUUCUUCUUCAUUCCAACACCGUCGGGGGAGGUCUGGGAUCACGCCGGGGAAAAGAAACAGUGUCGCCGGCGCUGGAAUUGUGGAGAAACAGCUGAAAUCCGAAUGGAAAACCCGUCCGGACGUCCGUAUCUAAAAACGACUGUAUAUAUAUAUAGCCCAGAUCAAGAGCGGACGUCCGCACUGGGCUUAAAGUGCGGACGUCGCCAAUUUCUCCACCUUCAGGGCGUCGACAGCAGCGCUUCUCUUGCUGGACGGAUAGCAGACCUUGAUACUGAGCUUCCUCUUGCCAGUGGACUCGCCGGCUACAAGUUUGCAGCCAACCUUGAUCGGAUAGCCCAAGUUGCGGCACAGAGCUCCGAUCCCGAUCCCGAUGACCUUCUUCUUCAUGUCAACGUUGUCCCAAAGGCCUCUGGUGUUGAUCCGGCAAGAGAAGCGCCACCGUCGAUGCCCCUGAAGGUGGAGAAAUCGGCAACGUCCACACUCGAACGGGCCUAUAUAUAUAUAAACUUUUUGAAGCGGACGUCCGCACUUUAAGCACCGGACGGCUCCGACGAUGGCGCGCCUCCACCGGAGCAGACACCGGCGGCAUCCCCGAUCACUUUCCCUUACCAGCGAGAUCGAUUUGAAGGUCUGGGCAACAACCUCCACCCAAAACUUCAGACAAGAUCGAUCUCGGCUGCAAACUGGUAUUCGGGGAACUCGCCAGCAAAGGAAAAUGAUCAAGGAUGCCGCUGGUGUCCGCUCGGGUCCGCUUUGGUGGAGGCUCGCCGUCGUCGGAGCCAUCCGGUGGAAAACGGAGGGACGUCCGCACUUUCAGCUAGUGCGGACGUCCGCUUCAGAUCGGGCUUAUAUAUAUGUAGAUUUUCUUAGGUGCGGAUGUCCACAUUUAUUCUUACGGUGCAAAGUUCCACUUUACACUCACUUUUCAAUCGAAUUUUCACAUCUCCACAGUCUAAUCUUUAGAUACUAAUGUAUAGAUCAUCUCUGCAAAAUUUCGGCCAAUUUGGUUAUCAUUAAGGCACUCAAACUCGAUUAAACCAAUGAAUGAACAUAAUUCUGUCGAACUUGAAUCGUUCAUGUUUAUAACAAAAAAACACAGUUUUGAGUGUCUUAAUGAUAACCAAAUUAUCUGAAAUUUUGCAAAGAUGAUCUAUACAUUAGUAUCUAAAUACUACACGGUGGAGAUGUGAAAAUUCGAUUGAAAAGUGAGUGUAAAGUGGAAAUCUGCACCGUAAGAAUAAAUGUGGACGUCCACAGCUGAGAAGCUCUGUAUAUAUGUAUGCUAGUGUUAUUAUUAACACACCCCAUUUAUUUUUCUAUCCGCACAUUUCACUUUUAUUUACAAACUUGUCAUUUAAAUUUGUUUUAUGAUUGAUUCUCAUUAUAGAUGAGGUGUGUUAAUAGAUUAGUUAUAAUAUAGGGAAAAUUGUCCAAAUAGUGUCUCACCUUUCACAUAAGCUAAGUUUUGGUAUCCCAACUUUAGAAAACUUUAAAACAGUAUCUCACGUUUAUACCCCAACCUAAGUUUGGUGUCUAGAACCGUUACCUCAGUUAAGAAUAACUGACGUCAGUCAUAUUUGAUCAUAAAAUGACCAAAUUACCCUUUAACCUUUUAUUUUUCAUUACUUUUUUAAUAUAAUAAAAUAACUGAAGAAAAAGCUAUUAAUUUAGAACUAGUCUUUACAGACCAACAAAUUAAAAAAAAAUUGGUCUUUAGUUUGUGAUAGACAACUCCUCUCCUCUCUUCUCUACCUAGACACACACACUGAGAGCCGGAGAGGAGAUCUACGAUGAAUACGAUCUCUUCUCCUUCCAUUUCCACAGGUGAAACAAACAUAGGGAUGUCUUUCACCAGGCUUUCUGCCAUCUCUUUGCCUACACAGAUAUGCGUAUACAAACAUGGUGGGUCGACGCGAUGCCAAUGAUAAGACCACCAUUCUCUACAAACUCAAGCUCAAGCUCGGCGAGUUCGUAUAUCUAGAGCAAUGAUAGAUCACCCAAAAAAGCACUAUCUAUUCCGCCUCGCCAUGGCCCCUCUUCUUUAAAACUCACUAUCCAUUCCUUCUUUUACCCCGACUGAUUGAGUAGCAGCCUAUGGCACAAUUUAACCCAGACAUGUGAUUCAUGGAUCACUUCUUACAAUGACAAAUUGAAACAGGGGUAUCAACAUUCAAGGUCACAGUAAAACUCCUAGUCUCCUACCUUGAAAAACAUAGUUCAUAUAAAAAUAUUUACAACCUAGAACCCCAAGUUGGUAAAUUUGGCACUCUUUAGUCAAAGCCCCAAUUCCAUAAUGCAAACAGAGGAAGAACACGAAAUAAUAAGAAGGUAUAUCAAGUCAAAAAUCAAAGUAUAAUAAACACAAGUACCUCAAUAUCUCUAUUAGUAAUAACACCAUGAUCCAAGUUAGUUACAUAAAGAUUGGUGCUUCCCUCAACCCUUGGGCUCCAAACCACAGUGGCUCAAUACAUCCAAAUUACGUCUUCGACGUUGACGACGCCAUGACCAAGUUGUCGCCCUUGAACCUGAUCAACCGAACCCCCGAGGCUGGGAAAGGAGUGCGGCACUCGAGACGGGCGGGUUGUGGCAGUUGUCGGAGUUAGGUCUGGGAAUUGAAUUUGGAGUUGGUGAAAUCCAGUGGAUAGAAUAGGGGAGAGAGAUAAGGUAGGAAAAGAGAAAAGAGAAAAGAAAAAAGAAAAAAAAAGGUUAAAAUAUUUGUCCAGAAAAAAUGUUAAAAUACAAAAAGACCAAACUAUCCUUCAGUUGUUAGUCAUUUUAACGGAGGUAACAAUUCUAGACACCAAACUUGGGUCGAGAUUAAAACGUAAGAUACUGUUGUGAAAUUUUCUAAAGUUAGGAUACCAAAAUUUAGCUUCUCAUAAAGGUGUGAUACUAUUUAGAUCAUUUUUUCUAUAUAAUAUAUAUAGUAUACAGUGAACUUCAUGUGAAGCAGACUAACAGCUAACGAAAACUACGUAACUCCAUCUUAAAAAAUUGAGGUCUGAAAAUCAAGUUUUUUAUUUUUUAUUUUUUAUCAGAAGAAAUAACUAGCCGACACAUUUUCUGAACGAGCUGGAUAAUAUCUAGAUAUGUGUCGUUGUUUACAGGACCAUGUCAUUGCUUAAAAAAAAUAAAAAAUCGAAAUCCACUCUGUCACUUAUUUUGAUAUAUAGAUAUAUAUAUAGAUGGAGCUCGAGGUCUGAACUGAACUCUAUAAAUAGGCUUGAUUGUAUCAGUUACGUGAAAACGCAGCAGUAUUCAACAUUAUAUAUGGCGUUUGGAGGUUCUGUGUUCUUUUCGUUGCUGCUAGCUUUGGCUGCGGCUGCUAGCUUCUCCUUUGGCACUGCCCGUGCUUACUAUAUCCCUUUUAACCGAAGCAGUUUUCCGAGUGAUUUCCUUUUUGGUGUUGGUUCAGCUGCUUAUCAGGUAUCCCUCCCUUUAUUAUAUAUCUACGUACGUACGUACGUAUGCGUGUUAAUUCGUAUCCGUAUAUAUGCAAAGUGUAGCUACUGAUUGAUGGUAUAUAUGCUCUUUUAAUUGUUGUUUCUUCAAUCCGUUAUCGAUGCAUCUCAGUCAGAAGGAGCAGCAUUAGUCGACGGAAGGGGACCUAGCAUCUGGGAUACUUUUGUUAGAAAGCAUCCAGGUCUCUCUCUCUCUCNNNNNNNNNNNNNNNNNNNNCUCUCUCUCUCUCUCUCUCUCUCUCUCUCUCUCUCUCUCUCUCUCUCUCUCUCUCUCUCUCUCUCUCUCUCUCUCUCUCUCUCUCUCUCUCUCUCUCUCUCUCUCAUAUGCAUGUUUCCCUGAGCUACGUAUUCAUGUAUUAAAGAGGGAACGAGCAAGAGGCCACAUGCUCUACGUGCUAUAUAUGCUCGCAAAUCGACUUAAACUGGUUUUUGCUUUUGAUUCAGGACUUUAUCUGCUUGGUCACCAGGGAAAAAAAAAAUCACUAAGACACUGCAUGCCUAAGAGCUUAGCACUAGUUGUGAUUACUUGUAUAAUUUUAACGAAAGUGAGAGUUUGUCCAAUUAAUAUUAUCACAUUUGCUAGAUGAUAUAGGACCGAUAUCUAUGUAAACAUAUGAAAAAGCAAUUACAAAUAAAGUCAUAAUCCAUUGAGUAAUAGAUUGUAAUGUACUAUUAUAAUAUUCAAUUUUUUAUGUAUUGCGCUACAGUAAAGUGACGUUUAUUGUGAAAGUGUUAUUGCGUGAUGACAGAAAAGAUAUGGGAUCACAGCACCGGAGAUGUAGCAAAUGACUUUUACCAUCGUUAUAAGGUAAAUUUAAAUGACUUUCUCAUUACUUAAUAAUCAAGCACACUGAAAUAAGUUCUACUUAUAUAUAAUCAACAAAGCCAUCGCUAUCCUUUGAAGAAGAAAAAUUAAUUGGAUGGCAAUGUAUUAUAUAUGCUCAAAAAUUAAGUACGCGGUUGUUAUGGGAAUGUGAUCAUCUGUUAAUACCUCCUAAUAUUGCUUCAUAUAUGAGAGAUAUGGGUCAUCCAACCUUGAUCAUACGGACAAAAAUUUAAAUGUCGUGUAGCCGUGUGAGGUGGGACCCACCCAAAUGGAAGAGAUUCUGGCCGUAAGAUUAAGAUUAAAUGAUUGAUAUUAGGGAUCUCAUCGGACAAUAUUAAGAGAGGAUCUUGAUCCAUUUGUUUCGAUGACUGAUGCACGAACUGAUAUGACAGGAAGAUAUCAAAUUGAUGAAGAAAAUUGGGUUGGACACCUUCAGAUUCUCAAUCUCAUGGUCCAGAUUACUUCCAAGUAAGAACUAAUUAAGAUGAUAAUGUUGUGUAACCCAUCUUAAUCAUAGAAACAACUAAAUAUACGUCAAAAAUGGUUAAUAAUUACUUGGCAUGUUCUGAUGUUCAUGGCAACUACAAAAUUAUAUACAUAUUGACAUGUUCAACUCUUGUGCUUCUCGAUCGAUCAGAGGGAAAACUCAGCGGAGGAGUCAACCCACUCGGUGUCAAAUUUUACAACAAUCUCAUCAAUGAGCUCGUAUCAAACGGUGAACAUCUCAAUUCUGCUCUCAAUUUUCUGGCUCUAUCACAUUUUCCUAUGAAUGAAAUUGCUUUCUCUAUGAAUGAAAUUGCUUUCUCUAUCACAUUUCUCUUGACUAAUAAACUGUUGAGAAUUUGGCAAGUUUCAUAGUCGACGAUCAUUCCUAAUUUUCCUAUAUAUUAAUUUGAUGUGAGAAUUGAAGGUAUCAAGCCCUUUGUGACUUUACUCCAUUAUGAUCCUCCCCAAGCACUUGAUGAACUGUAUGGCGGGCUCUUAAGCCGAAACAUAAUGUAAGACAACGUGUAUCAGUUAGACGGAUCGGACUACCCACAUAUAUAUGUAAUUGAUCAUUAUAACUAGUGGUAACGUGAUCAUUUCGGCACUUGAUGUUUAACAGAAACGAUUACGGAGAUUAUGUGGACUUUUGUUUCAAGACUUUUGGUGAUCGAGUAAAGCACUGGGUCACGAUGAACGAACCUAACGGAUUUGCUAUUAAUGGCUACAACGGCGGUACCUUUGCGCCGGGGCGGUGUUCUAACUAUGAGGGUAACUGCACUUCCGGUAACUCAGCGACUGAACCCUACAUUGCGGCACACCAUUUGCUUCUUGCUCAUUCAGCUGCUGUCAAGAUAUACAAGGACAAAUAUCAAGUACUGUAACCCUAGCUGCAUUCGUUAUAUAUUUGAAUAUUACGAUGAAUACGUGAAUAUAGAUAUAUAACUUGAAUUAACGAACUAAUGUGAAUAUAUGUAAGCAGGCUACCCAAAAGGGACAGAUCGGGAUUACCAUAGUGACUCACUGGUGGAAACCUAAGUUCCCAGAACAGCUGGCUAGCCGAAGAGCCACUCUUAGAUCACUCGACUUUAUGUUUGGAUGGUGAGGCUAGCUGCUUAAAUAUUAAGACGUAAUUCUUCUGUAAAACUUCAUGUGUUGAUUUUGUAUGAAUUUUCAAUAUCUUGUAGGUUUGCCAAUCCUAUAUUUCAUGGGGAUUAUCCGGCGGUCAUGAAAUCUUUGGUCGGGGAUCGAUUGCCGAAAUUUACAGAAGCUGAGUCGAAGCAGAUAAAAGGCUCCCUCGAUUUUCUUGGGUUGAAUUACUACACAGCAUAUUACACAGUUGAUGAACCAGCUUUAUCCAACGCUGUCAACCAUAGUUGGAGUGCAGACAGACAAGUCGGUGCUUCUACUAGUAUGCAUCCAUCAAUCAUUAAUCCCCACACGUACCAUAUAUAAUAACUAAGUUCAACUGCUAUUCGAUUCUAACACAUCUAAAUCUAUUUUGUUGUCACAGCUGAUAAAAAUGGGGCUCUUAUUGGUGCAGCGGUAUGUACUAAUUCAUUCUCUCUAGCUCUAUGGUAUACGUUCAAGUUAUUCAUUUAGAUACUGAUGUUUACAAUUAUGUGGUAAACAUGCAGACUGAUCUGGAUUGGCUUUUCGUUUAUCCGAAAGGGAUCAGAGAGGUUCUUUUGUAUAUAAAGGAGAAGUACAAUAACCCAAACAUUUAUAUUACUGAGAAUGGUAAAACGAUCGAUUCUCUUAUAUAUAACCAUAUAUUACAUGAUUAAUUUUAGUAUUUUAUGCAUGCUAAGAUUGUAUAUAAUUUUGCAGGAUAUGCAUACGGAUAUAAUGCCUCAACACCAAUUCAAGAAGCUCGUAAGGAUAAUUUGAGGAUAAGAUACCAUCACGACCAUUUGUGGUAUCUUUUGAAGGCUAUUAAGUGAGUCACACUCGUUCAUGUAGUGCAUGGUUUUUGGUAUAAUUUAUAAUUAGAGAUUGAGUUAAUAAUUAUUCGAUUAAUUGUUAUUGAUUGAAUAUUUCAGGGAUGGGGUAAAAGUGAAGGGAUACUACGCAUGGUCAUUUUGGGAUGACUUCGAAUGGGAUGCUGGUUACACAGUUGGGUUUGGCCUAACAUUAGUUGAUGUCAAGGAUAAUCUGAAAAGAUACCUCAAGUAUUCUGCCUAUUGGUACAAGAUGUUCCUCCUGCACUGAUAUGCUGGCUUAUGGAUUGAUCCAUCACCUAGCCUGCGGAUCAUACCUCUCUAUCUACUCCAAAUAAAUUGAGCAAUAAUUUCCCAAUAAUUUCCUUAUGUAUGUCAUCUACCUAGCUAUAUGUAUGUAUCUUCAGCUAGCUCUCAUCAAUAAGAACUAUUGGUCCGCUUUAAUUGUGUUUUUCUGGUAGAGAGUUUCAAUUUAUGCACAUACUUAAGUGGGAACUACCAUAUAGUUAAAUUAUCAAUUCAAAUAGCUAGUUUUGUUUACUGUAUCAUUAUGUAAGUAAUGAAAUUAUAUACAUACUGAAGAAACGACAAACCAGCAACCAUCAAGUUUCGUGACAGGAACCAGAUCCGGAUCUGGAGCUCGAGAAGCCGCGAUCUUGCAUUCACGGCGUUGGCCAAAACCUUCGAUCCGCCAACUCCAGUUCGACCAUCGACCCUCUGCCGCGCAAGACCUCCUUUGCUCCACCCCCAUCUAUCCUCCCGCCGCGCCUUCGCCUCCGAUGCAGCAGCCGAAAAAUCGCUUCGGUUGAGAACCCGAUCUGCUCAAAACCCAUAAUCGAGCCACAAACAUAACCCAUGAAUCGUCUUCCCGUCCGGCCGCCCUCCACGUGCAUCGGCUCGGCCAUCGACCGCUACCGGUGCCGCGGCGCAACCGGACGAGAUAAAGAGGAGAAGGUGUUUUCAGAAAGUUUUAGAGAGGCGCGCGUGUGAGGCGCGUUCUAGAUCCCCUAUCCUCAUCCUUUGAUAAAGCUGACUCGAAAGAGAUGUUACGACUGAAAAAUAAACUACUUUUUAUGAAAAUUGAAUUCGACUUUUUUCUUUUUUUCUUUUUCCAGAUUUCUUUAUCCAAUAAAGUUCAGACUUGAGAGACUUUUCACAUGUAUAAUCAUUUUGAAUUCGGAUUUGGGAAUACAAGUGAAAAAACCUGAAUCAUAAAAUCAUCACGAGUAUGCUAUCAAGCUCUGAAUGAUCAUGACAGUACAAACACGUGUAUCAUAUUUAUUUUGGUCUGUGUGACAUGAUUUAUUUUUCUUGUUUGGAU
rnacentral:lncRNA from 1 species